rnacentral:misc_RNA from 1 species
UGGUUCUCGCAUCGAUGAAGAACGCAGCGAAACGCGAUAGGUAAUGUGAAUUGCAGAAUUCAGUGAAUCAUCGAAUCUUUGAACGCACAUUGCGCUCCCUGGUAUUCCUAGGAGCAUGUCUGUCUGAGCGUCAGUACGCAACCUCCGGGCGACUAUUUUGUCCGCCCGGGUGCUGAGGGGCGAGCGAGGCUGCUUCGGCCGCCUAGCCCCCCUCCAAACACGCAAAGCGAGCGGUCCGCCCGCCCGUCGACCCGACGUAGUAAGCUUCGCGCACCUCGUCCAACCGACGCGGCAUGUGGCUGCCGACCUGCCUGGUGGAACACCUCAAGGCUUGACCUCAGAUCAGACAAGAGUACCCGCUGA